rnacentral:rRNA from 1 species
AUGUAUGAAGUGGAUGAACCUAUUCCCUUAAAUGUGGUUCUUUGUCCUAAUAAAGAAAAGGACAAAGACUAUAUUUGCGAGGAUGGUAGCGAGGUUGAGAGUGAAGUAGAGGAUGAUGAAGUAGAGGAGGUUGAAGUAGAGGAGGAUGAGGAGUUGCAUGAAGCAGAUCAUACUCCACAUGUAGAGUAUUACAAAUUAGACCCUCCAAUGACAAAAGGCUUUACAUAUCCCAGCAUGAAAGAGUUCAAGUUGGCACUUUCUCAGCAUGCAAUCAAACGUGAAUUUGAGUAUAACACCAAGUAUAGUACCCGUCAUCAGUUUAGGGGCUAUUGUUCAAGACGGGAUGCAGAUAAUUGUCCCUGGAGGAUACAUGCUUCUACGACAGAAGAUAAGUGUACUGUGAUGGUGAGGAAAAACCCAUGUGGUCAUGAUUUCUCUAGUACAAGAAGGAAAAAUAAGACGAAGAAUGGAACCAAGCAUUGGGUAUGUGAUAAGGUGAAGGAUUGGCUGAUUGAAAAUGCAACUCUCGGAGCGAAGGCAUUGUAG